rnacentral:lncRNA from 1 species
GGCUCUAAUCAUAAUGCUAAUAUCAGCCUAGGGGGUAUCUAAUGGCUGUGAUCUAGUCCUCAUCCUCCUAGCGUAAGUGGCGAGGGAAGGUCGAGCCUGAUGGAACUGAGUCUGGCAUGGAGCUCGGUGAGCUGGAUGACUCUGUGCCGAAAUCUCUGACUCAGCUGCCUGUGGCACAGAUGGUCCAUGAACCUCUCUC